GUUUCGGAAUCUUCCCUUCCUCCGUGCAGUGGAUAUUCACCUACUUUCCAAUAUCUGUCGCAACGAAGUGAUUAGUACUCAACUUCAGCUUGCCUGACCACUGAUCAGUGGGCUGGUAAAGUGAGAUAUUACACCGCGGAGUUAUUUCCCAACUGUCCAAGUCCAAGUGUCCUAGAGUCUAGAAGCAUUUUCGUGUACGUAGCAGGAGGAGUGCCUUCCAGAAUUUAGCUUUUAAUUCUCAUCAAAUUGUGGAAAAUCUGCAGAUAUGUCUCUUAAACAGAUCUUUGACAAAGCUGCCCGAGCUGGAAUCAUACUGGUCUUCGUAGACUCUCAGUUUCAGCGGAAGCAGAAGCAGCCGAAACUCAUCAUGGAUUGGGCGGUGUCACUUUUGGUGAGUUAUUAAAUACUUCUAAUUUUGCUGAAACAUGAGCUGCCGUAGCAUGUCACCAAGGCAACCUAUGGAGACCACUAAGAACUGUUUAGAAUCUUGGAAAAUUGUGGAAGUAGCAAUGGUUCCAUGAGCCCAUAGUGGUAUAAGACAGGUUUGAUUUGAUACUAUGGAUGUAAUGUCUUCUCUUGCCUUACUGUUAUGAUUCUUUUAUCGAUUCCUUGCACCCUAUACUAAAGAUAUUUACGCACAGACACAAUAACACUUUUGCAUUGUGCAUAUAACAGUAGGUAUUCCCUUACAGUAAAUUUUACAGCUUCAAAAAGAAACUCAACAAGUUAGUUGUACUAGUGCUCAAUGGAGGACCAUUACUUAUCAACUGCCGUUUUUUGGAAUAUUAUAAUGCAAACCAGUAACAAUGAUGUUUGACCUUCUGUUAGACACAAUCUAUUUUUCAAGGCUUACAGGUAGCAUGUAAGAUGUUCAAAUAUUGCCAACUUUUUUGAAUAACCCCCCCCCCCCCCCACAGAGUCCUGGGGGGGGGGGGGAGUCAAAAUUAGAAAUUUCAGUGGAUAUUAUCUUCUCUGCAAAACUCUCAUUCGACAAUUUUUUUUCUACUCAUUAUAAGGUACAUGUUUUAUGCAGAAAAUACCUGGAAGUUUUUUUUUUUAAACACAAAAAAUUUCAAAAAAAAUUUGCACUCAUUCUUGAUCAAGUGAUAAAUUUGUUAAUCAAAUCUUAAUCUGCCAGAAUGCCAGAUACAAGGUAAUUUUGGCCCCUGUCUUUAUUGGCCGCUUACAGCUUGUGAAGGAAGGGAUCUUUAGCUGCUUGCCCUCGGCUUAGGCA
rnacentral:lncRNA from 1 species